UCCUCCGUGAGGAGGAAUCUGAAGGAAGCCGGCGGUAAAUCUUUGGCCUGACGAACAGGAAGCAGAUGAGGCAAUUACUUGUGGGUGAGUUUGCAUGACAAAACGAAGCCCUAAACUAUCCGAAACAAGUAACUGUAGAUCUGACAGGUAUAUGAAGAGAAAGUUUGCGCA
rnacentral:ncRNA from 1 species